GGAAUAUUGGUCAAUGGACGGAAGUCUGAACCAGCCAAGUAGCGUGCAGGAUGACUGCCCUAUGGGUUGUAAACUGCUUUUAUACGGGGAUAAAGUCAGGGUCGUGACCCUGUUUGCAGGUACCGUAUGAAUAAGGACCGGCUAAUUCCGUGCCAGCAGCCGCGGUAAUACGGAAGGUCCAGGCGUUAUCCGGAUUUAUUGGGUUUAAAGGGAGCGUAGGCCGGAGAUUAAGUGUGUUGUGAAAUGUAGAUGCUCAACAUCUGCACUGCAGCGCAUACUGGUUUCCUUGAGUACACACAACGUUGGCGGAAUUCGUCGUGUAGCGGUGAAAUGCUUAGAUAUGACGAAGAACUCCGAUUGCGAAGGCAGCUGACGGGAGUGCAACUGACGCUGAAGCUCGAAAGUGCGGGUAUCGAACA
rnacentral:rRNA from 1 species